AUUGAACGCUGGCGGCAGGCUUAACACAUGCAAGUCGAGCGAGCGGCGGACGGGUGAGUAAUGUCUGGGCAACUGCCUGAUGGAGGGGGGUAACUACUGGAAACGGUCUCUCAUCCCGCAUACCAUCCGAUUUGCCCAGAUGGGAUUAGCUAGUAGGUGGGGUAAUGGCUCACCUAGGCGACGAUCCCUCGCUGGUCUGAGAGGAUGACGACCAACAUGGGAACUGAGAAACGGUCAAGACUCCUACGGGAGGAGGCAGGGGGGAAUAUUGGACAAGGAGCGCAAGCCGGAGACAGCCAGCCGGCGUAGUGUAAGAAGGCCUUAGGGUGGUAAAGCACUUUCAGCGAGGAGGCGUUACUCGAAGAAGAAGCACCGGCUAACUACGUGCCAGCAGCCGCGGUAAUAC
rnacentral:rRNA from 1 species